UAAUUAUCAAAACUUUCAACAAUGGAUCUCUUGGUUCCGGCAUCGAUGAAGAACGCAGCGAAAUGCGAUAAGUAAUGUGAAUUGCAGAAUUCCGUGAAUCAUCGAAUCUUUGAACGCACAUUGCGCCCCCUGGCAUUC
rnacentral:rRNA from 1 species